CCACUUAAUUCGGACCCUCCCCGAAACCCUCCUUGCCCUCGUCUUCUCGACCUCCUUCCCUGCUGCCCGUGACCCAAUCCCUAAUCUCUUAUACUUCUCCUGCAUUGAGCAGAGAAAACAGAGACAGAGGGAGACAGAUCGACGAAACAAGGAUGGCAUCGGCGAAGGACGCGGAUCCGAACCUUGGGUUCCUGACGAAGCGCGACACGGAGGUGAAGCUCCCCCGUCCGACCCGCGUGAAGAACAAGACUCCGGCCCCCAUCCAGAUCACCGCCGAGCAGAUCCUCCGGGAGGCCCGGGAGCGGCAGGAGCCCGAGAUCCGCCCUCCCAAGCAGAAGAUCACGGACGUCUAUGAGCUCUCCGAUUACCGACUCCGCAAGCGCAAGGAGUUCGAGGACCAAAUCCGCCGCGUCCGAUGGCACACCGGCGUCUGGGUGAAGUACGCCGCCUGGGAGGAGUCCCAGAAGGACUUCGCCCGCACCCGCUCCGUCUGGGAGCGCGCCCUCGAGGUCGACUACCGCAACCACACGCUCUGGCUCAAGUACGCCGAGUUCGAGAUGCGCAACCGCUUCGUCAACCAUGCCCGCAACGUCUGGGACCGCGCCGUCUCCCUUCUCCCCCGUGUCGACCAGCUCUGGUACAAGUACAUCCACAUGGAGGAGAUGCUCGGCAACGUCGCCGGCGCCCGCCAGGUUUUUGAGCGCUGGAUGUCCUGGCAGCCUGAUGCCCAGGGCUGGCUCUCGUACAUCAAAUUUGAGCUGCGAUACGGCGAGGUCGACCGCGCCCGCGCCAUCUACGAGCGGUUUGUCGCCUGCCACCCCCGCCCCCACGCGUUCAUCCGCUUUGCCAAGUUCGAGAUGAAGAACGGCGAGGUUCCACGGGCCCGUGCUGUAUAUGAGCGUGCUGUUGACCUCCUCUCCGAGGACGAAGAAGUUGAGCAGCUCUUCGUUGCUUUCGCUGAGUUUGAGGAACGGUGCAAGGAGGUGGAGCGUGCCCGAUGCAUCUACAAGUUCUCACUCGACCACAUCCCCAAGGGCCGCGCUGAGGACUUGUACAAAAAAUUCGUUGCAUUCGAGAAGCAGUAUGGGGACAGGGAAGGGAUUGAGGAUGCCAUCGUGGGAAAAAGGAGGUUCCAGUACGAGGAGGAGGUAAGGAAAAAUCCACUAAAUUAUGACUCGUGGUUCGAUUAUAUUAGGCUGGAGGAGAGUGUCGGGAAUAAGGAGAUGGUUAGGGAAGUUUAUGAGAGGGCGAUUGCUAAUGUGCCUCCAGCAGCAGAGAAGCGGUACUGGCAGCGAUACAUCUAUUUGUGGAUAAAUUAUGCGUUGUAUGAAGAGCUUGAUGCUGGAGAUAUGGAGAGGACUAGAGAGGUUUACAGGGAAUGCAUUAAAUUGAUUCCUCACAAGAAAUUUUCAUUUGCGAAAAUUUGGCUCCUGGCAGCCCAGUUUGAGAUAAGGCAAAAAAAUCUUAAGGCUGCACGCCGAAUCCUAGGCAAUGCAAUUGGAAUGGCUCCAAAAGAUAAGAUCUUUAAGAAGUACAUUGAGAUUGAGCUCCAGCUAGGAAAUAUCAACCGCUGCAGAACCCUAUAUGAGAAGUAUCUUGAGUGGGCUCCUGCAAACUGCUAUGCUUGGAGCAAGUAUGCUGAAUUGGAAAGAUCAUUAAGUGAGACAGAGCGUGCUCGAUCAAUAUUUGAACUUGCGAUUGCUCAACCUGCAUUGGACAUGCCGGAGUUGUUGUGGAAGGCUUACAUUGACUUCGAGAUAUCAGAGGGUGAAUACGAGAGAACAAGGCAACUCUAUGAGAGGUUACUUGAUCGAACAAAACACUUGAAGGUAUGGAUUAGUUAUGCCAAGUUUGAGGCUUCAGCUGGUAUGGAAGAUGAAGAGGUGGAUGGGGAGGCUCAGGAAAGCAGUGAUGAUAUCUCUCGUCAUGAGCAGCAAUUGGAGUGCAUCCAACGAUGCCGAGGUGUUUUUGAGAGGGCAUUCGACUACUUCAGAACGGCUGCCCCUGAGUUAAAGGAGGAAAGGGGGAUGCUCUUGGAGGAGUGGUUGAAUUUUGAGAGUAGUUUUGGAAAUCUUGGGGAUGUCAGUUCAGUCCAAAAGAAGUUACCCAGGAAGGUAAAGAGGAAGAGGGCCAUAUCUACUGAAGAUGGGACUCCUGCAGGUUUUGAGGAAUAUAUUGACUACAUAUUCCCUGAUGAAGUGGCAAUAGCUCCAAAUCUGAAAAUAUUGGAAGCUGCAUACAAAUGGAAAAAGCAGAAAGUGGAUUCUGAUGAGGAUUGAAUGUAAUGCAUAUAUAAUGGGUUGAUAUGUGUCAAAUCAUUUUUUUACUUUGGAUUGAGAUGAUAGCGUAGCUGUUCGGUGUCUUUCUUUACCAAUGUAUAGUGAGAUCAGAAACUUGGUUGGUAAGCAUAUAUCCCUAGCCAUCCAUUUUCUCUGCCAUCAUUUGCAGUCUCUGAAUUGACUAUGAAGUUGACGGAUGCUUGUAACGGCGUUGUUGGUGGUGUCCAUUAUAGCCGUAGGCUGGUCUGAUUGUUGGUGUUGGUGGCUCUCUCCCCCCAUCGGUUCCAGUCCUUGAACUGAAAUUUUCGGAAUGGUUGAGCAUGAUUUCCUAAUAGAUUAGGCGAUCCUUAUUAAGAGGUUCUCUUGUUUCGCAACCAUGACAAAAGAACGAAGCUUCCCUUGAUGCUUUCCAGUCACUUGGAAUAACCAGUAACGUCAUCAAGAUGCCUUAUAUACUUUAUGUGAAUAGAUGAUGGUGAUAAUAUUUGUUUCGAAGGGAAAGAAGUCGUGCUGAUGGAUGUGUUUGAAGUGUUUUGCGAGAGAAGGGUUUCUUUUAUUUCACGGGAGCUCUCAGGACAGGCGUGAUAUAAUAGAUUACUUUCUGCUGAUCUCUUUGGGCAUUGAAAACGCAGUUGCGGAGCAUAACCACUUCAUUUUAUAAAUUAAGUGGUAAAGAUCAACCUUUUCUUGUUGCCGGGUUCUGAUUUUGUUGUGCAAGCUAUAAUGACGUCUUUGUGAGAAAUACGGUGGGUGUGCUGCUACCCCUCCCAUUGAAACUUAGAAAGAGAAAUGCCAACAAGUUGAGCUGAAUGAGAUUGACGGGGUCAAGUUCGCUUAAAUAUUAUUUUAUCAAAAAAUAAAGAAAAUAUCUGAGGCUUUGUAGUGAAGUGGUAAUGGAAAUCGAAGAUAUUCUCUCAUUGACUUGUAUGCAUGCGGCUUGUGUGUUUGCUAUUUUUUUCAUGGAUCCUUUGUUUAUGAACAUGAUGUAUCUCUUGCUCGAAUCGUGUGUAACUAAUCAAAGGUUAACGCUCUAGUUCCUCUGG